rnacentral:sRNA from 1 species
GAUGGAGGCGUUUUUGGGGUCGCGGUCCGGACUUUGGGCGGGGUGUCCGGCCCCAGGACAGUUUUACCGCAUUCCGUCCACUCCCGAUUCCUUCAUGGAUCCGGCGUCUGCACUUUACAGAGGUCCAAUCACGCGGACCCAGAACCCCAUGGUGACCGGGACCUCAGUCCUCGGCGUUAAGUUCGAGGGCGGAGUGGUGAUUGCCGCAGACAUGCUGGGAUCCUACGGCUCCUUGGCUCGUUUCCGCAACAUCUCUCGCAUUAUGCGAGUCAACAACAGUACCAUGCUGGGUGCCUCUGGCGACUACGCUGAUUUCCAGUAUUUGAAGCAAGUUCUCGGCCAGAUGGUGUAAGUCAUCCAGAGAACAGGAGAGUGGUUCCCAAGUAGAGAGGGGAGUCCCCUGUUUUUUAUUCCCUUCGAUGGGAUGGGGGGACUUGUUGCAGCGGGGGACUGGGAGAGUUGUUGGAGGUGGGCGAUCUGUGUUUGCAAUAAAGUUUUUGGCAUUAGGAGGUGUAAAAUGGGGGAAGGUGUGGUAACUUCUUUUGGGGAUGGGUGGAGACCCCGACUUAAUUCUCUCCCUUUUCUCACAACCAAUUCCUUUUAAGGAUUGAUGAGGAGCUUCUGGGAGAUGGACACAGCUAUAGUCCUAGAGCUAUUCAUUCAUGGCUGACCAGGGCCAUGUACAGCCGGCGCUCGAAGAUGAACCCUUUGUGGAACACCAUGGUCAUCGGAGGCUAUGCUGAUGGAGAGAGGUUCAUAUGAAUACAAAUAACUUAUUUCCUUUACCACCCAACCUAGUACCUGUGUAGUAUCUCUUCUGUCUCUUCUCCCCAAGUGAAUCCCACUUUAACUCAGACCCCAUGGUCCCCUUCUUCAGCUAAGAUGAACCUAAGGUGAAAUGAGUUUUGACCCAUUGUGUCCUGUUAGCUUCCUCGGUUAUGUGGACAUGCUUGGUGUAGCCUAUGAAGCCCCUUCGCUGGCCACUGGUUAUGGUGCAUACUUGGCUCAGGUAAGUAGUAAGUCUAGAGGUGGGGGAAAGGGAAGACAAAAGGAAAUGGAUUAGUGGUUGUCUGCUUUUCUCCUGAAAUUCUGAUAUGAGGGAUGGGCUGGGAUCGCUAUUACUGGGCAGAUGGUUUUCUUUGUAGUCUGGGGGCUGUAGGUGUUGACACUGAUUCCAGUGACAAGAUGACAUGACUGGGAGUCAGUAGACAUGCAAAGAGAGGACACCCUAGAACUUCUUCUUGAAGUGGCUCUUAGCUUAUUUUCUAAGCAGAGUUCAUUCUGGUGAGGCAAGAAGUAGAAUGUCAUCUUUCACUCUUUAAUGCUUUUUAUACCAUAGAUUUGAGACAACUAGCCUGUUAUUCAGCCCAAUAUCCCCCUAUGGUUUUCCCCCAAUCUCCCUAGCCUCUGCUGCGAGAAGUUCUGGAGAAGCAGCCAGUGCUAAGCCAGACCGAGGCCCGCGACUUAGUAGAACGCUGCAUGCGAGUGCUGUACUACCGAGAUGCCCGUUCUUACAACCGGGUGAGGGAUGUGCUGGGAACCUAAUUGGCGGGCUCUGGAUACUUGCAAUCCCUGGGUCUCUAUGCUUUGAAGAACAGAUUGCCUUACUUGUGUGACUCCUAUUUUCACAUUGGGGAAGACCUCCACCUGACCUUUCAUUUAAGGACUUAAGGCGUGGGCAUUAUUGAAUGCUCUGCUUUCUUCCAGUUUCAAAUCGCCACUGUCACCGAAAAAGGUGUUGAAAUAGAGGGACCAUUGUCUACAGAGACCAACUGGGAUAUUGCCCACAUGAUCAGGUGAGUAAUAGGGAAAAAAUUGGUGACAGACUUGGGAGGUCUUUGGCUUACACUAAGCUGGGCUUUUCUGGGAGGCUCACCCAGGAAAAUUUUCUGGGUGGAAAGUUUUGGUUGGACAGUACAGCUAUUUUUAGGAAUUGAUCCCUUUAUGCUUCACAAUUUUAUUAUUCUGUCUUCCUUUUUUAGUGGCUUUGAAUGAAAUACAGAUGCAUUAUCCAGAACUGAAGUUGCCCUACUUUUAACUUUGAACUUGGCUAGUUCAAAGAUAGACUCUUC